rnacentral:rRNA from 1 species
UACGUAGGGGGCGAGCGUUGUCCGGAAUCAUUGGGCGUAAAGCGCGUGUAGGCGGUUCGGUAAGUCUGCUGUGAAAGUCCAGGGCUCAACCCUGGGAUGCCGGUGGAUACUGCCGAACUAGAGUGCGGAAGAGGCGAGUGGAAUUCCCGGUGUAGCGGUGAAAUGCGCAGAUAUCGGGAGGAACACCAGUGGCGAAGGCGGCCUUCUGGCUCGCAACUGACGCUGUAGCGCGAAAGCGUGGGGAGCGAACGGG